rnacentral:ncRNA from 1 species
CUCUUAUCAAGAGAGGCGGAGGGACGAGCCCGAUGAAGCCCGGCAACCCCGGUCACCAAGACCGGAAGGUGCCAAUUCUUGCAGAGCCCCGGAGGCUGCUGAGAGAUAAGAG